rnacentral:lncRNA from 1 species
CCAGCCUCAGAAACAAGCUGGUUUCUGCCAGUCCACCCCCUUCCCUCUGACUGCAUUGUGCAGCUGCUGAGCAGAGAGAAGUUGCAGGGAGGAGGGGGUUCCAGAGGAGAAGCGAAGAGACUCAGGUUUUCAUACGAUUUAUCAAAGUACAGGCAAGAUGCAGAGAUGCUUCUGAAGCUGUGACCCCAAAAAGAAGCUCAACUGGGAGAUUUGCAGCCUGGACCAGUCUAACCCUACAGGAGGCUGUUUCAACGGGCUCAGCAACUCCCUCGGUUUGACCCCUGACACAAGCAUGCCUGCUGAAUCUACACCUGGACCUAAAGACUUGUAGAGUCCUUUCUGGGGCUGGAUGUUCCCACAGGACAAUUACCAGUCAUGCAUACAGAGCUUUGCUGCCCAAGGGGACUUUCUGAGGGCUGAAUAUUAUUUACUUCAACUCUCCUUUGACAAGGCACCUGAGGCCCAGAUGGGGAAAGUCACACAGGACUGUGAUGGGGCCUGAUCGAGAUCUCCUGAAUCUUCCCAGUGCUGCUUGCUGUGCUUUGUGGCCCUUCCUCUGGCUGUAACUGUAAUCCCACCUAUACCUUAGGUUGCACAUGCUCAUACAGCGCUUACCAUGAGCCACCCUCUGAGGCAGGUACUGUUAUGAUUCCCAUUUUACAGCUGGGGAGGCUGAGGCUCAGAGAGGUUAAAUACUUCCCUAAGCUAGUAUGUGGUCGAGCUAGAAUUUGAAACCAGAAUGUCCUGCCCCAGAAUCUAGACUCCUAACCACUGGGCUGUGCUACCUCUCUUCUCUGGAAGCUUCACCUGUACCUGGACACAUUUACCUUCACUUUCCUCUUCUCCUGUCCUUAGCUUUCACCACCACCUUCACAAUUUCUCAUUUCAGGCUAAGCCAGAUAAUCACCCCAGACACAAGGGCAGGCUCAGCACUGCUAUCAAAAUCCCUUUUCCUUUUAUCUUCUCCAUCACCAUCUUAGCCUUAUCGCGUUCACUAUCAUGAUCAACUUCACCAUUUAUAAAGUCUCUAAUUGCAAA